GUAUAAAAAGGGCCCACAAGAGACCGGCUCUAGGAUCCCAAGGCCCAACUCCCCGAACCACUCAGGGUCCUGUGGACAGCUCACCUAGCUGCAAUGGCUCCAGGCUCCCGGACAUCCCUGCUCCUGGCUUUUGCCCUGCUCUGCCUGCCCUGGCUUCAAGAGGCUGGUGCCGUCCAAACCGUUCCGUUAUCCAGGCUUUUUGACCACGCUAUGCUCCAAGCCCAUCGCGCGCACCAGCUGGCCAUUGACACCUACCAGGAGUUUGAAGAAGCCUAUAUCCCAAAGGACCAGAAGUAUUCAUUCCUGCAUGACUCCCAGACCUCCUUCUGCUUCUCAGACUCUAUUCCGACACCCUCCAACAUGGAGGAAACGCAACAUAAAUCCGUGAGUGGAUGCCGUCUCCCCUAGGCGGGGAUGGGGGAGACCUGUGGUCAGAGCUCCCGGGCAGCACAGCCACUGCCGGUCCUUCCCCUGCAGAAUCUAGAGCUGCUCCGCAUCUCCCUGCUGCUCAUCGAGUCGUGGCUGGAGCCUGUGCGGUUCCUCAGGAGUAUGUUCGCCAACAACUUGGUGUAUGACACCUCGGACAGCGAUGACUAUCACCUCCUAAAGGACCUAGAGGAAGGCAUCCAAACACUGAUGCGGGUGAGGGUGGCGCCAGGGGUCGCCAAUCCUGGAACCCCACUGGCUUCGAGGGCUGGGGGAGAGAAAUACUGCUGCCCUCUUUUUAGCAGUAAGGCACUGACCCAAGAGAACUCACCUUAUUCUUCAUUUCGCCUGGUGAAUCCUCCAGGCCCUUCUCUACACCCUGAAGGGGAGGGAGGAAAAUGGAUGAAUGAGAGAGGGAGGGAACAGUGCCCAAGCACUUGGUCUCUCCUUCUCUUCCUUCACUUUGCAGAGGCUGGAAGACGGCAGCCGCCGGACUGGGCAGAUCCUCAAGCAGACCUACAGCAAGUUUGACACAAACUCGCACAACCAUGACGCACUGCUCAAGAACUACGGGCUGCUCCACUGCUUCAGGAAGGACAUGGACAAGGUCGAGACAUUCCUGCGCAUGGUGCAGUGCCGCUCUGUGGAGGGCAGCUGUGGCUUCUAGGUGCCUGCGUGGCAUCCUGUGACCGACCCCUCCCCAGUGCCUCUCCUGGCCCCGGAAGGUGCCACUCCAGUGCCCACCA
rnacentral:sRNA from 1 species